CUCCUCUUGUCUUCUCGGUCUAUAAAUUUCUUCUCUUCCAAAAUAUAAUCUUUCCUCCAUCUCCUACACAGCGGUCAUUGUCCCCCUCAGGAACAUUCUUAACAUUCUGGAUGUCUUGCGUUUCUUCCUCUGGAGAAUGAAUAACUGAAGAGAAAAAAAGAAACUGAAGGACUUGGAGAGGGAAAAGGACAUACUGUGGAUGGGAUUACAGGCUUUGGAGCUGGUGCGAGACAGGUUGUUCUUACCUGGAAGAAAACAACAUUCCAUCCAAACUACAAGACAAUUUCAGGAACGGAGUUCCUAUUCCCAAACACCCCCACCCUGUUGUUGGCUCAGAUUCACAGACUAAACAUGUCCAUGAGAAAUCUAAUAUGUGAUUUCAGGAGACCCACCGAACAUAUUCAAGUCUGGGCUUCAACAGAAG